UACGGAGGGGGCUAGCGUUGUUCGGAAUUACUGGGCGUAAAGCGCACGUAGGCGGCUUUGUACGUUAGAGGUGAAAGCCCGGAGCUCAACUCCGGAAUAGCCUUUAAGACUGCAUCGCUAGAACGUUGGAGAGGUAAGUGGAAUUCCGAGUGUAGAGGUGAAAUUCGUAGAUAUUCGGAAGAACACCAGUGGCGAAGGCGACUUACUGGACAACUGUUGACGCUGAGGUGCGAAAGCGUGGGGAGCAAACAGG
rnacentral:rRNA from 1 species